rnacentral:lncRNA from 1 species
AUUUGGCCAAUUGGUUAAACAAGGGUUAAUUAAUGCUUCUACACCCAGAGGUUUGGGGUUCGAAUCCUAGAUACUGCGAUUUAUUAAUAAAUUUCCAGAUUAUUGGAGGCAAGUGUGUAGGAGAUCUCCAGCGAUGUACAAUUAUAGCCGUUCGCCAGGAUUCUACGCAGAGAGGGAAGUGUCCAUCAAGAGCAUAAAGAAGGAGGUAAAGGAGGUGAGUAUGAAGAAAAAGGUGAAGAAGGUGUCGUCUAUCAUGGGUCUAAUAAGGGUCGGAAGGAAUUGUCCGUUGUAGAAUCAUCUAUGUAACAAUUCUCAUAAUUUGCAAUAAAUAAUAUAUCCAGACGUAAAAAAAAAAAGAUGAAGCAACUGAUGUAAAACGCUGUCGUUUUACGACCAUGAAAGUGUACAAUUUU